UCAACCCAUUUAACCUUCUAACCCAUCAAAUUAAAUGAGUUCAUGGGUUGACUCAACUCAUUUAAGCAAAUGAGUUGAGUCAACCCAUGAACUCAUUUUAACUCUAAAUUCAUUGGGUAAUGAGU